AGUCGAACGGCAGCACGGAGCUUGCUCUGGUGGCGAGUGGCGAACGGGUGAGUAAUAUAUCGGAACGUACCCUGGAGUGGGGGAUAACGUAGCGAAAGUUACGCUAAUACCGCAUACGAUCUAAGGAUGAAAGUGGGGGAUCGCAAGACCUCAUGCUCGUGGAGCGGCCGAUAUCUGAUUAGCUAGUUGGUAGGGUAAAAGCCUACCAAGGCAUCGAUCAGUAGCUGGUCUGAGAGGACGACCAGCCACACUGGAACUGAGACACGGUCCAGACUCCUACGGGAGGCAGCAGUGGGGAAUUUUGGACAAUGGGCGAAAGCCUGAUCCAGCAAUGCCGCGUGAGUGAAGAAGGCCUUCGGGUUGUAAAGCUCUUUUGUCAGGGAAGAAACGGUGAGAGCUAAUAUCUCUUGCUAAUGACGGUACCUGAAGAAUAAGCACCGGCUAACUACGUGCCAGCAGCCGCGGUAAUACGUAGGGUGCAAGCGUUAAUCGGAAUUACUGGGCGUAAAGCGUGCGCAGGCGGUUUUGUAAGUCUGAUGUGAAAUCCCCGGGCUCAACCUGGGAAUUGCAUUGGAGACUGCAAGGCUAGAAUCUGGCAGAGGGGGGUAGAAUUCCACGUGUAGCAGUGAAAUGCGUAGAUAUGUGGAGGAACACCGAUGGCGAAGGCAGCCCCCUGGGUCAAGAUUGACGCUCAUGCACGAAAGCGUGGGGAGCAAACAGGAUUAGAUACCCUGGUAGUCCACGCCCUAAACGAUGUCUACUAGUUGUCGGGUCUUAAUUGACUUGGUAACGCAGCUAACGCGUGAAGUAGACCGCCUGGGGAGUACGGUCGCAAGAUUAAAACUCAAAGGAAUUGACGGGGACCCGCACAAGCGGUGGAUGAUGUGGAUUAAUUCGAUGCAACGCGAAAAACCUUACCUACCCUUGACAUGGCUGGAAUCCCCGAGAGAUUGGGGAGUGCUCGAAAGAGAACCAGUACACAGGUGCUGCAUGGCUGUCGUCAGCUCGUGUCGUGAGAUGUUGGGUUAAGUCCCGCAACGAGCGCAACCCUUGUCAUUAGUUGCUACGAAAGGGCACUCUAAUGAGACUGCCGGUGACAAACCGGAGGAAGGUGGGGAUGACGUCAAGUCCUCAUGGCCCUUAUGGGUAGGGCUUCACACGUCAUACAAUGGUACAUACAGAGCGCCGCCAACCCGCGAGGGGGAGCUAAUCGCAGAAAGUGUAUCGUAGUCCGGAUUGUAGUCUGCAACUCGACUGCAUGAAGU
rnacentral:rRNA from 1 species